rnacentral:lncRNA from 10 species
CUAUCAGGGCUUUGUCUCAUGAGGGUGGGUAUAUUUUCUUAAAAUCAUAGAGCGUACUAGAGGUUGCGUUUAUGUGUUGAAAGGAAGGACAGAGAGAGGAGUAGGGGCAGCUCAAGGGUGGAGUUCAGGGCCAGGGGGCGGGGCCACGGGCCUGAGGGGUGAGGGCGGCCACUAUUUCUGACUGUUCUGUUAGGUGCCACGUACUGGGCUGGGUGCUCUUGGUGCCUUAUCUCCCUUCCUCACAGCCAUGUGGAAACUGAGGCAUCUCAAGAGUCUAUGACUGGGCUGAGGUUCUGGUUUCAAGCCCAGGGUUCCUUCCAAGGCACAGGGCUGUCCUCCGUGCAAGAGGAGGGGACCCUCUCCCAAGCCACACACGCAGGAGGCUGGGCAAGAGUUGUGGGAAGUCAGAGCCCGUGUGACUGUGGGCUGGUGCCUCAUUCUCCUCAGCCAUAGAGUGGGCCUCACAGUACCACUGACCCUGCUGGGUUACUUGAAGAUUCAAUUUGAUGAUCUGAAGAUCAUGCCAUCCCAGAGGCUGGCACGUGGAAGGCAUGUGUGGGGGGUUGCCA